rnacentral:lncRNA from 1 species
AUCUGCUUGAGAAGUGUUAACAGGAGACAAAUCUUACUAGAGGAGGCUCAGAUCCAGGUGUGCCUCCUCAUUUCUCAUCCUGCUAGGCACAGCUGCUCCAGGUGGGGAGCCCCACUGCGAAUCCAGCAGGGAUCUCAGGUGCGACCCAGCCAGCACAGGCUGCCUCGAGGAGAAGCAGCGCUUUGCUCCGUCACCUCCUGGACGACAUACCAACAUCCAGAGCCACACCGAAACCUACCCCACAGUUCAUACUUCAUUUUGGCUGAGACGCCAAAUGCCCCAGCAUGGCCCAUCACACCUUCGCCCCAAGAACAGGCACUUCCCUCCCCACAGGAGAGCUUUAUCCCCUGACAAAGCAAUCCUGAGUUAUCACCACAACUUUUUCCUACAUUAAUAUUUUGUUUUCUCUUAUUUAUUUUUUUUUUUUAAACAGAGUCUACGGUCCUGUUCCGCAACUUGUUGCCUCUGGCACAUAUAGAGACUUUAUGCCAUGGUUUUAAUUUGCAUUCCCUAAUGAAUAUAUGAUUAGCAAUUGCAUUUAUAAUUAGUAGUUUUGUCAUUUAAAGUUCACCAGUUUUGCAGCCAAUUAUUGAAUAAAAAGCUGCUUAUUAUUUUCAAUAUAUUAUUACUUUAUUAUGGCUCAUUGCUUUAAAAUACUUAGUUGAAUCCUUUGCAGGUCCUUAAACACAAAUAUGGCAGCUAUUAGCAACCUCUUCAGUCAGGCAUAAAAUUGUACCCACGGGCCUCAUAAACAAUGGAGUGCUUUGGAGAGAUUAAAUCAGUGUAUACAGCUGCGAGGGAGGCCAUUAGGAAAUACAUUCUCAUUCUGGCUUAGUGUUAUUUGGUUUGCCACUACGCUCUUGUCAAAUCUAUCAACUACCUGUGCUCUCCUCUCCAUAAAUACGAGAUGUCAUCUCACCAGGAAAAGCCGAACGUCGAGGAGCGGAGCCGUGCAAAGGCCAGGACGAUCAAUCUCCUCUCCGAGCAGGACAAACACCGCGGCUCCUGGCAAACUGCGCUUAGUGCAGCACCAGCGUGGGGACAGUUGUCAGACCUGCUGCACACCCUCACAUCCAGACUAGGAAAAUAUGGCAUUCAGGCCAAGUCUGUAAUGCUUCUCUCAGCUUGGCCAUCCCCUUUAAAACACAAAGCAGAAGAUGGACUUGUGAUGUGCAAGCUGCUUGCAUCCUACUGAGCCCAGAGAAGAUGCCUUGUCUUGCACCAGCAUCUUCUCUGCAUGGCCACCACUUCCUCCUCAAACUUCUCUCCAGCCGCUCUCCUUCUCAUCCUCUGCAGCAAAAACCACACCAUAAGAUGCCCUAAAAGAAGGGCAAGCCCAUGACGACCAGAUUAAAUAUUUGUUCUACUCCUGUAGCACCGUGGACAAUUCUCCUCCGUGUCCCAUCCACCAGAUUUUUUCCCUAAAUCCCCUUGAAAUCACCAGAUGAGCCAUUUUUCUGUUAUAUUACUUAUUCAAGAUUGCAGAGAACUCCCCAAAGAGCCAAGGUAAGCACACUAUUUGCUAAAGGACAGAACAGUCUCAAACAAGGAGGAACUUGUAGGGGAAGUAAAAAAUAUGACAUAAUUAUCAUGUAAAUUAUAGUGUUGGUUUUAAAUCCCCUACCAGCAAGACAUGAGGUUACACCACAUGUUUCUAAGGCAAAGGGAGAAUUGCUUUCUUGCCUGGAGACAAGAGAGUAAUAUUAGAACAACCAAAACCAAGAACAACUCCUCCCCAACCCCCAAAAAGAAAAGCAGAAACCCACCACACCAACAGAGCAAAUCCCUAUCUUUGGGGUAAUAAAUAUUGGCACCCCCUGGCUAUUUCCCA